CAACCAUCGAAGUUUGGGUCUGCCACGAC
rnacentral:sRNA from 1 species